UUAAUACGCAUACUCAUUUGACGUUAGCUGCAGAAGAAGCACCGGCUAACUCCGUCGCCAGCAGCCGCGGUAAUACGGAGGGUGCGAGCGUUAAUCGGAAUUACUGGGCGUAAAAGCGCAUGCAGGUGGUUUGUUAAGUCAGAUGUGAAAGCCCGGGGCUCAACCUCGGAAUUGCAUUUGAAACUGGCAAACUAGAGUACUGUAGAGGGGGUAGAAUUUCAGGUGUAGCGGUGAAAUGCGUAGAGAUCUGAAGGAAUACCGGUGGCGAAGGCGGCCCCCUGGACAGAUACUGACACUCAGAUGCGAAAGCGUGGGGAGCAAACAGGAUUAGAUACCCUGGUAG
rnacentral:rRNA from 1 species